rnacentral:SRP_RNA from 1 species
UCGUGCUAGGCGGGGAGCUAGCGGUGCCCUCUACCCGCAAUCCGCUCAAGCGGGGCUGAAUGCCCGCCCGAGGGUAGGCACCAAGGGACUGUUGCCGCUAAGUAGUGUUGAGAGCCUGGUCCUGCGCGGCGAUGUCCGGCUAACUCCGUCAGGUCCGGAAGGAAGCAGCGGUACGUCGGUCACAUCGGGUGCCGCAGGGUCGCCGGGUUUGAGCUGGCUGGCGGAGAUAAGCCUGUGGACCAAUUCGACGGCGGGGCACGA